rnacentral:rRNA from 1 species
UGGAGCAUACAGGUCUGUGAUGCCCUUAGAUGUUCUGGGCCGCACGCGCGCUACACUGAUGCGUUCAACGAGUAUACAACCUUGAUCGAUAGGUCUGGGUAAUCUUGUGAAUGCGCAUCGUGCUAGGGAUAGACUGUUGCAAUUUUCAGUCUUGAACGAGGAAUUCCUAGUAAACGCAAGUCAUCAGCUUGCAUUGAUUACGUCCCUGCCCUUUGUACACACCGCCCGUCGCACCUACCGAUUGAAUGACUCGGUGAAAAAUUGGGACCGUGAGUCCGCUUGCUUCAUUGCGAGUGGAUUGAUGGGAACUUUUUUAAACCUCGCCAUUUAGAGGAAGGUGAAGUCGUAACAAGGUUUCCGUAGGUGAACCUGCGGAAGGAUCAUUACCACACCUAAAAAACUUUUCACGGGGACCCGAACCACCCCUUUAAUUGGGGGGCCUGGUUUUUGCGAGCCCUAUCAUGGCGAAUGUGUGGACUUCGGUCUGGGCUAGUAGCUUUUUGUUUUAAACCCAUUCUACAAUACUGAUUAUACUGUGGGGACAAAAGUCUCUGCUUUUAACUAGAUAGCAACUUUCAGCAGUGGAUGUCUAGGCUCGCACAUCGAUGAAGAACGCUGCGAACUGCGAUACGUAAUGCGAAUUGCAGGAUUCAGUGAGUCAUCGAAAUUUUGAACGCAUAUUGCACUUCCGGGUUAGUCCUGGGAGUAUGCCUGUAUCAGUGUCCGUACAUCAAACUUGGCUUUCUUCCUUCCGUGUAGUCGGUGGAGGAUGUGCCAGAUGUGAAGUGUCUUGCGGGUGUCCUUCGGGUCGUCUGCGAGUCCUUUGAAAUGUACUGAACUGUACUUCUCUUUGCUCGAAAAGCGUGGUGUUGCUGGUUGUGGAGGCUGCCUGCGUGGCCAGUCGGCGACCGGUUUGUCUGCUGCGGCGUUUAAUGGAGGAGUGUUCGAUUCGCGGUAUGGUUGGCUUCGGCUGAACAGGCGCUUAUUGUAUGCUUUUCCUGCUGUGGCGUGAUGGGCUGGUGAACCGUAGCUGUGUGUGGCUUGGCUUUUGAAUCGGCUUUGCUGUUGCGAAGUAGAGUGACGGCUUCGGCUGUCGAGGGUCGAUCCAUUUGGGAACUUUGUGUGCACCUCGGUGCGCAUCUCAAUGGACCUGAAUCAGCAAGUCCCAC